GAUGAACGCUGGCGGCGUGCUUAACACAUGCAAGUCGAACGGUGAAGGGGAGCUUGCUUCCUGGAUCAGUGGCGAACGGGUGAGUAACACGUGAGCAAUCUGCCCCAGACUCUGGGAUAACAGUUGGAAACAGCUGCUAAUACCGGAUAUGAGACGUGAAGGCAUCUUCAACGUCUGGAAAGAGUUUCGGUCUGGGAUGAGCUCGCGGCCUAUCAGCUAGUUGGUGAGGUAACGGCUCACCAAGGCGUCGACGGGUAGCCGGCCUGAGAGGGUGACCGGCCAAACUGGGACUGAGACACGGCCCAGACUCCUACGGGAGGCAGCAGUGGGGAAUAUUGCACAAUGGGCGCAAGCCUGAUGCAGCAACGCCGCGUGAGGGACGACGGCCUUCGGGUUGUAAACCUCUUUUAGCAGGGAAGAAGCGAAAGUGACGGUACCUGCAGAAAAAGCACCGGCUAACUACGUGCCAGCAGCCGCCGUAACAC
rnacentral:rRNA from 1 species